AUGUGGCGAAUAAAAAUAUUGCUCCAAGUAAAGUUACCGAUAGACGAAGACGAAAGAGGGGAUGCCUUCCGGGGCAUCCCCAAGCUUAGGCUUUUGGUUAUCCUUGAAUAUCUUGGGGUGCCAUGGGCAUCCACAAGCUUAGGCUCUUGCCACUCCUUAUUCCAUAGUCCAUCAAAUCUUUACCCAAAACUUGAAAACUUCACAACACAAAACUCAACAGGAAAUCUCAUAAGCUCCGUUAGUGGAAGAAAGAAAAACCACCACAUAAGGUACUGUAAUGAACUCAUUCUUCAUUUAUAUUGGUGUUAA
rnacentral:rRNA from 1 species